UGGGGGAUUUUGCACAAUGGGCGCAAGCCUGAUGCAGCGACGCCGCGUGAGGGAUGAAGGCCUUCGGGUUGUAAACCUCUUUCGCUGGGUUGAAAGGCCAUGCUUUGGGUGUGGUUGAUUUGAACUGGUAAAGAAGUACCGGCUAACUACGUGCCAGCAGCCGCGGUAAUACGUAGGGUACUAGCGUUGUCCGGAUUUAUUGGGCGUAAAGGGCUUGUAGGUGGUUUGUCGCGUCUGUCGUGAAAUCCUGUGGCUUAACCAUGGGCUUGCGGUGGGUACGGGCAGGCUUGAGUGCGGUAGGGGAGACUGGAAUUCCUGGUGUAGCAGUGGAAUGCGCAGAUAUCAGGAGGAACACCGGUGGCGAAGGCGGGUCUCUGGGCCGUUACUGACACUGAGGAGCGAAAGCGUGGGGAGCGAACAGG
rnacentral:rRNA from 1 species